rnacentral:rRNA from 1 species
GACGAACGCUGGCGGCGUGCUUAACACAUGCAAGUCGAACGGAAAGGCCUCUUUCGGGGGGUACUCGAGUGGCGCAAGGGUGAGUAACACGUGAGUAACCUGCCCUUGACUUUGGGAUAACUCCAGGAAACAGGGGCUAAUACCGGAUAGGAGAUCCUGCUGCACGGGGGGGGUUGGAGAGAUUCCGCGGUUGGGGAUGGGCUCGCGGCGUAUCAGCUUGUUGGUGGGGUAGUGGCGUACCAAGGCUUUGACGGGUAGACGGCCUGGGAGGGGGACCGGCCACAUUUGGGCUGGGGUACGGCCCCGGCCCCUACGGGGGGCCGGAGGGGGGAAUAUUGCCACAUGGGUCGGAGCCUGAUGCAGCCACGCCCGGGGCGGGAAGGCGGGCUUCGGGUUGGAAACCGGCUUCGCUCAUGGCGGAGCUGUGUGUGACGGUAGUGGGUAAAGAGGCACCGGCUAACUACGUG